UCACCGGAGAAUGUGGAGAUUGUCCUCAUUGUCACUCGGAGGAAUCAAACAUGUGUGAUCUUCUCAGGAUCAACACCGAGCGAGGAGGGAUGAUUCACGAUGGUGAAUCAAGAUUCUCCAUCAAUGGCAAACCAAUUCAUCAUUUCCUUGGGACUUCCACAUUUAGUGAGUACACUGUGGUUCACUCUGGUCAGGUCGCUAAGAUCAAUCCGGAUGCUCCUCUUGACAAAGUUUGCAUUGUUAGUUGUGGUUUAUCCACUGGGUUAGGAGCAACUUUGAAUGUGGCUAAACCCAAGAAAGGUCAAAGUGUUGCCAUUUUCGGACUUGGUGCUGUUGGUUUAGCUGCUGCAGAAGGUGCUAGAAUCGCUGGUGCUUCUAGGAUCAUCGGUGUUGAUCUUAACUCUCAAAGAUUCGACCAAGGUAUUCAAAAAGAUGAUAGUCCUUUUUGACUAUGCUCUUCUCUAAUCUCCUCUCACUUACAUUGAGUUUGAUAUGUUAUUUGCAGCUAAGGAAUUCGGUGUGACCGAGUUUGUGAACCCGAGAGACCAUGACAAACCAGUUCAACAGGUGAUCGCUGAGAUGACGAAUGGAGGAGUGGACAGGAGUGUGGAGUGCACUGGAAGUGUUCAGGCCAUGAUUCAAGCAUUUGAAUGUGUUCAUGAUGUAAUCUUCCCUUCACAUCAAUUCGGACCAAACCAUUGAUAACUUACAUUAUGCAUAUCUGAACAUAUACAUAUGAUGUUGUUUCAGGGUUGGGGUGUUGCGG
rnacentral:lncRNA from 1 species